AUCAUCUAUCUUCCAGGACUGUACGGAAUACACCUAUUGCACGUGACGCGUCCGUUUAUCGUGGGAUCAGGGUAGUUUGAUAUCUAUACUGAUUUACCUGUAGUAAAGGUGACCAUCUGAAGGGGAAGCGAGAACACGGAUCUGGAAUGUCGGAUUUUUACACUACUCUUGAAGGAUAAAUAGUCCGCAGUCAGGGAACCUAAUGCAACUCCUUCAGUCUUAGCGUUCUGUAAUAAGUGAAGUCCCUCCCCGGCUUAUGAACAGAGAUCCACUCAGCAGCUCAUUCGACUCCCAGAGGGAUGAGCAUGCGCAGAAGUCAUCCGAAUCUCCAUAGCAACCAUUCUAUCAAACACUACUGCUAGAUUAGCUCAUAGCUUGAGAUAAGUCAAAUGUAUACAAUAUAUGUGCUUUUUCAAACGGUUGCAUAAAAAUGGAAUGCGUGAAAAAACUAUUUUACAUUUGUUUGAAAGAUAUUGAGUAUGCUAAAGGCAUUCAUUAAUCUUGCGUUUAAUUGUAAUGUUUUCAAAUGCAUGGGAUACUAUAUAUGUAAACUAUUAAAUAA
rnacentral:misc_RNA from 1 species